CCUACGUGAGGCAGCAGUGAGGAAUAUUGGUCAAUGGCCGGAAGGCUGAACCAGCCAUGCCGCGUGAAGGUCAGUGCCCUAUGGGCGUUAAACUUCUUUUGUGCGGGAGCAAUAAUGGUCACGUGUGGCCAGACGAGAGUACCGUACGAAUAAGCAUCGGCUAACUCCGUGCCAGCAGCCGCGGUAAUACGGGGGAUGCAAGCGUUAUCCGGAUUUAUUGGGUUUAAAGGGUGCGUAGGCUGUGAGGUAAGUCAGCGGUUCAAUGCCCCCGCUCAACGGGGUGAAGUGCCAUUGAUACUGCCUUGCUGGAAUGCGGAUGCAGUGGGAGGAAUGUGUGGUGUAGCGGUGAAAUGCAUAGAUAUCACACAGAACACCGAGUGCGAAGGCAUCUCACGAAUCCGCGAUUGACGCUGAUGCACGAAAGCGUGGGUAUCAAACAGGAUUAGAUACCCUAGUAGUC
rnacentral:rRNA from 1 species